rnacentral:lncRNA from 1 species
AAUCAUUAAAAAGUCAGGAAAAAAAAGGUGCUGGAGAGGAUGUGGAGAAAUAGGAACACUUUUACACUGUUGGUGGAGCUGCCUGCCAGUCCCGCGCUGUGCACUCACAAUCCUCAGCUCUUGGGUGGUCAAUGGGAGGGGGCAACAUGGAGCAGGGGGCGGCACUCAUCGGGGAGACUUGGGCCAUUCAGGAGUCCACGGUGGGGGGAGGUUCAGGCAUGGCAGGCUGUAAGUCUCAAGCCCUGCCACACCGGGAGGCAGCUAAGGCCCUGCGAGAAGUUGA